CACGUAGGGGGCAAGCGUUGUCCGGAAUUAUUGGGCGUAAAGAGCUCGUAGGUGGCUCGGUAAGUCGGGUGUGAAAUUUCGAGGCUCAACCUCGAAACGCCACCUGAUACUGCUGUGGCUAGAGUCCGGUAGGGGAGCGUGGAAUUCCUGGUGUAGCGGUGAAAUGCGCAGAUAUCAGGAGGAACACCAGCGGCGAAGGCGGCGCUCUGGGCCGGUACUGACACUGAGGAGCGAAAGCGUGGGGAUCAAACAGG
rnacentral:rRNA from 1 species